AUACGUAGGGGGCGAGCGUUGUCCGGAAUGAUUGGGCGUAAAGGGCGCGUAGGCGGCCCGGUAAGUCUGGAGUGAAAGUCCUGUUUUCAAGAUGGGAAUUGCUUUGGAUACUGGGGGGCUUGAGUGCAGGAGAGGUUAUCGGAAUUCCCGGUGUAGCGGUGAAAUGUGUAGAGAUCGGGAGGAACACCAGUGGCGAAGGCGGGUAACUGGACUGCAACUGACGCUGAGGCGCGAAAGUGUGGGGAGCAAACAGGAUUAGAUACCCUGGUAGUCCACACUGUAAACGAUGAAUGCUAGGUGUAAGAGGUAUCGACCCCUUUUGUGCCGGAGUCAACACAAUAAGCAUUCCGCCUGGGGAGUACGGCCGCAAGGUUGAAACUUAAAGGAAUUGACGGGG
rnacentral:rRNA from 1 species